rfam:Candidatus Wildermuthbacteria bacterium RIFCSPLOWO2_01_FTLL_48_16 rifcsplowo2_01_scaffold_2981, whole genome shotgun sequence.
GCCCGGGUGGCGGAAUGGUUUACGCAGAGGACUUAAAAUCCUUGACCCGAAAGGGUUUGUGGGUUCGACUCCCACCCUGGGCA